CCAAAUUUCUGUCCUGUUUUCGAUAUCUAAUGACACUUCGAUCAUGGGGUUUUACAACCAGAUUAACAUCAUAAAACAUGACAGGUGCAUGCCUGAGGGCAACAGACCAUUACAUUUGCGUUAUAGGUCAAAUACAUGUGUAACCUUGUAAACCGGUAUGAAUCAAUGGUUUCGCCCGAUAGCAUAAGCGUUAUGACAAUUACCAGGGGUAGUGCAAAUUAACAUGAGUGAAUCCUUUGUCUGUGGUUAAACCACGUGACCUAUGUAUCGGUCAGCUAAGCAAUUAGUGACGUCACAGCAGAACUGUACUAUUAUCUACCACAGUGGUACAUGUACUUCCCCUUCUCAGUAAAAUAACUGACAAAUACUAAGCGCUUCAAAGUGUGAUGCUCUCUAUUGCAAGUUUUACGAACAAUGGAAGGUGUAAGACAACAACUAUCGGAAAUGAACAAACAAAGAAUUCAUUGUUUGCUUUCUUUGCGUUAAUAACAGGUUCAUAAUAGCGAGUAUCGGUACAUCACAUGCUCAUCUUUGAACUCGUUGGUCAAAGUACAACCUUGUAGUAACAAUAUGUCAAAUAAAUUAAGCAUUUAAAAUUAUUUAAAAUGCAGUGCAAACACAUAUAACUGUAAUUUAUACUAUAUGGCAUUUUACAAGCGCGUGCUAUUACCCGUAGUCGUUGAUACAAUUGACUCUAUUUCGGACACUUCAAUUUUCGACACCUGUAUUUUGUGAAUAUUUUUCGUAUCUAAGUUUUCGGACACGAAAAAAAAUUAUUGUUUUUAAGUGUCCGAAAACAUAGAGUAAUUACGGUAUUGAAUAUGAACAAUAUCCCCAUGAUGGCUUACGUUAUACUGUCAAGCACUCGAAUAGUCGAGCGCGCUGUCCUCUGACAGCUCUUGUUAGGUCACAAGGUCAAAGGUCAAGGUCACAGUGACUCGAAAUAUUAAAAUGGUUUCCGGAUGAUAACUAAAGAAUGCUUACGCCUAGGAUCAUGAAACUUCAUAGGUACAUUGAUCAUGACCCCUAUUGAUUUUCAGGGCACUAGGUCAAAGGUCAAGGUCACAGUGACUCGAAAGAGUACAAUGGUUUCCGGAUGAUAUCUUACAUUAGGUCAAAGGUCAAGGUCACAGUGACAAAAAAUGUAUUCACACAAUGGCUGCCACUACAACUGACAGCCCAUAUGGGGGGCAUGCAUGUUUUACAAACAGCCCUUGUUAUUUCUAUAUUUAAAAUAUUUCUUACAGAAAUUCCUUUAAUCAAAGUUGGCAAACAGCGCUGACCCUAAUGAGACACUGCAUCAUGCGGCGUCUCAUAUGGGUCUUUGCUGUUUGCCAAUGCCUUUUUUCUAGAUGCUAGGCAUAAAUGGGUUAAAGCUAAGACUUGAUUUUAUAAUGAGUGUUUUUAAAAUGGUCUUGAAACAAAUGUCAACAAGUAUUUACUCAACAUUUUGAUGGUGGAAUACCAUAAUUUGUGUAGGUAUUAGCCAAGUAUUUCCUGCAGGGGUUUUUCUGCCUAUUUUGGGAAAAGGAGUCUAACCAAAUUGGGAAUUUUUUAUCGUCACAAUUGUCCAUUUUGGGAAUUUUUGCUUUGAUGAAACAGCUUAUUUUGGGAAAACAUUGUGAAUUUAUCAUCCUUUAAUUAUUCAGUGGUCUAACACAUAAAUGUGUUUUUAUGACCCUGGUAGGGUGGCAUACAUAGCAGUUGAACUGUUCGUCAGUCAGUAUGUCCGUCUGUCCGUCCGUCCAAAAACUUUAAUGGCAACUUUUUCAAUAUUUAACAUAGCAACUUGAUAUUUGGCAUGCAUGUGUGCAUCUCAUGUAGCUGCACAUUUUGAGUGGUUAAAGGUGAAGGUCAAGGUCAUCCUUCAAGGUCAAAUGUCUUAUAUAUGGCGUCUGUCUGUCCGUUCGAAAACUUUAACAUUGGUCAUAACUUUUUCACUAUUGAAGAUAGCAACUUGAUAUUUGGCAUGCAAGUGUAUCUCCUGGAGCUGAACAUUUUGAGUGGUGAAAGGUGUAGGUCAAGGUCGUCCAAGGUCAAAUGUCAAAUAUUCCGUCCGAAACCUUUAACAUUGGCCAUAACUUUUUCACUAUUGUAGAUAGCAACUUGAUAUUUGGCAUGCAUGUGUAUCUCCUGGAGCUGAACAGUUUGAGUGGUGAAAGGUGAAGGUGAAGGUCAUCCUUCAAGGUCAAAUAUUCCGUCCAAAAACUUUAACAUUGGUCAUAACUUUUUAAAUAUUGAAGAUAGCAACUUGAUAUUUGGCAUGCAUGUGUAUGUCCUGGAGCUGAACAUUUUGAGUGGUGAAAGGUCAAGGUUAUCCUUCAAUGUAAAAAAAAAUAAAAAAAAUAAAUUCAUUUCUCCAUACAAUCUCUAACUUACUUUUCAUGGAGCUGCACAUUUUGAGUUGUGAAAGGUCAAGGUCAUCCUUCAAGAUCAAAGGUCAAAUAUAUGGCUUCAAAGCGGCGCAAUAGGGGACAUUGUGUUUCUGACAAACACAUGUCUUGUUAUUUGUUAUUUUGUCUUCUUCAUAUAGACACAUGCAAUAUUGGGCAUGUUCAACGUUUAUUCAAGUCCUGCAGUUUUGUUUUUCAGUUACAGUUACACUCUGAGAUAAGAACUGUACAGUCAAUAAGUCAAUAUCUUAAAGCAAAAAUUGUUGACCAAAACAAACACUGGUAAGUCACACAGGUUAUAAGAAACUUCUUUCUAAAAACAAAAAAAAAAACAAAAAAAAAAAAUUUAAUUGGGAUUUUUUUAUAAUUUUGGUUUGGGAUCAGGUCCGUUUGCUUUGGGAAUGCCUACGUUUUCCGGAGGUGCAGACAGUGCUGAAAACCCCCUUUCCUGUACACAAAGUACAAGAUCAGCGUCUUCACGGGUGACAAAGCAGGUGCAGGAACAGACUCCAAUGUUUAUAUCAUCUUGUUCGGUGAAAAUGGGGACUCGUGGGAAAAAUAUCUGGACAACAAAAAGAACAACUUUGAAAGAAAUAAGACGGACACUUUUGUGGUGAAGUCCCUAUGUCUUGGGCGCUUGGACAGAAUUCGUAUUGGUCACGACAACUCCGGCUUUGGUCCUAGAUGGUUCCUAGAAAAGGGGCAGAACCUAAUACCUGGUAGUUUCAAUGAUGAACUAUCAUGAUAUAGGGCUAAAAGAUGGAUGUGCCAAAUCCACCUCAUGAAAAACAGAUUGGGCAAAAGUGGAGUGCGAACACUAAAUGGUGUGCUGCUAAAUAACAGAUCUUUACAAGUGAAUUCGGCAAAUCCUGAUGCAACCUGAUCAUGAGCUUACCAAGUUUACUGACAGUUUGGACUCUGUGUGGAUGAUAAUAUGGACAAUAUAUUGUGUUCAUGUUGUGUUGUGAUUGACAUUUUUUAACAGAUAAGAUUUUUUAAUCCAGACUUAACAGGUGAUUUUUCUUCAAAGUAUAAAUACAAUACUUUUUAAUUGAUGUGCAUGAAUUUGAGUACAAAAUAUCAACAAUGUGUAUCUUGUGUUGUUUUUCCAAUCAGUCUGUCAUCCAUAGGUAAUAUAUUAAGUAUGAAAAGGGAAUAUUUUAUUUUUACAUUUUUGUUGUUUCUGCACACCAUGUCAGAUACAUUAAAAUAUAUUUUAUGCCCCCAACGGGCGGCAUAUAGUUUAAGCACUGUCAGUCUGUCUGUCCCCCGAAACACUUUUCGUGUUCACUUUCUAAUUCAGGUAGUUCUAAUCCGAUCUCCAAACUUGGUCAGAAGUUGCAUCCGGAUAUUUUUUAGGUCAAGACGAACAUGGGUCAUGCCGGGCCAAAGACUAUGUCAUAGGGUCACUUAGUGCGUUUCAAACAUUCAGCAUGGUGUCCGCUCUCUAAUUCAAGUAGUUUUCAUCCGAUCUUUCCCAAACUCUGUCAGAAGUUGUAUCUACAUAAUGUCUACGCCAAGUGUGAACAUGGGGCAUGCCGGGCAAAAAACUAGUUCACUGGGUCACUUAGUGUGUUUUAAACAUUCAGCUUGGUGUCCGCUCUCUAAUUAUGCCCCCCUUCGAAGAAGAGGGGGUAUAUUGCUUUGCUCAUGUCGGUCGGUCGGUCUGUCGGUCGGUCUGUCCGUCCACCAGGUGGUUGUCAUACGAUAACUCAAGAACGCUUGGGCCUAGGAUCAUGAAACUUCAUAGGUACAUUGAUCAUGACUCGCAGAUGACCCCUAUUGAUUUUGAGGUCACUAGGUCAAAGGUCAAGGUCAAGGUGACUCGAAAUAGUAAAGUGGUUUUUUGAAUGAUAAUUCAAGAAUGGAUACGCGGCCAACAGGGCACACUCUGAACAAUAUUACUGAAGCAACUGGUCUGUAAUCCUUAAUCUAUAAUUAUCAGUCCAAUGAAACAUCAUCCUUUUAGUAAAAUACAGUGGAUCAGUAAAAAUAUUAUCAGAAUAUGAGAUUUUUUGUAUAUUAAAUAUUGUGUUAAUGUUUAAUUUUGUUGAUUAUUAUAAAUAUAAGCAGGACAGGGGAGGUAAUACACUACAGGGGAAACAAAUGCAAUAAGUUUAAAUUUAUUGUUACAGAUUUGCCUCCCUUGUAAUAUAUUUAAAUUUUACCAAAUGUAAGGCUAAUUGCAUUUUUGUAAUGCAUACUACUACUACUACUACUACUACUACUACUGCUACUACUGCUGCUGCUGCUGCUGCUGCUGCUGCUACUACUACUACUACUUCUACUACUACUACUACUACUACUACUACUUCUACUGCUGCUACUACUACUACUACUACUACUACUACUACUACUACUACUACUACUACUACUACUACUACUCUACUACUACUACUACUACUACUACUACUACUACUACUACUUCUACUACUACUACUACUACUACUACUACUACUACUACUACUACUUC